GAUUCCCCCAGUAGCGGCGAGCGAACGGGGAGCAGCCCAGAGUCUGAAUCAGCUUGUGUGUUAGUGGAACGGUCUGGAAAGUCCGACGGUACAGGGUGAUAGUCCCGUACACCAAAAUGCACAGGCUGUGAACUCGAAGAGUAGGGCGGGACACGUGGUAUCCUGUCUGAAUAUGGGGGGACCAUCCUCCAAGGCUAAAUACUCCUGACUGACCGAUAGUGAACCAGUACCGUGAGGGAAAGGCGAAAAGAACCCCGGCGAGGGGAGUGAAAAAGAACCUGAAACCGUGUACGUACAAGCAGUGGGAGCACCUUCGGGUGUGACUGCGUACCUUUUGUAUAAUGGGUCAGCGACUUAUAUUCUGUAGCAAGGUUAACCGUAUAGGGGAGCCGCAGGGAAACCGAGUCUUAACUGGGCGUUAAGUUGCAGGGUAUAGACCCGAAACCCGGUGAUCUAGCCAUGGGCAGGUUGAAGGUUGGGUAACACUAACUGGAGGACCGAACCGACUAAUGUUGAAAAAUUAGCGGAUGACUUGUGGCUGGGGGUGAAAGGCCAAUCAAACCGGGAGAUAGCUGGUUCUCCCCGAAAGCU
rnacentral:rRNA from 1 species